rnacentral:rRNA from 1 species
UACGUAGGGCGCAAGCGUUGUCCGGAAUUAUUGGGCGUAAAGAGCUCGUAGGCGGCUUGUCACGUCGGAUGUGAAAGCCCGGGGCUUAACCCCGGGUCUGCAUUCGAUACGGGCUAGCUAGAGUGUGGUAGGGGAGAUCGGAAUUCCUGGUGUAGCGGUGAAAUGCGCAGAUAUCAGGAGGAACACCGGUGGCGAAGGCGGAUCUCUGGGCCUUACCUGACGCUGAGGAGCGAAAGCGUGGGGAGCAAACAGG